rnacentral:rRNA from 1 species
AGCAGUCGCCGCGGUAAUACGUAGGUGGCAAGCGUUGUCCGGAAUUAUUGGGCGUAAAGGGCUCGCAGGCAGUUUCUUAAGUCUGAUGUGAAAGCCCCCGGCUCAACCGGGGAGGGUCAUCGGAAACUGGGAAACUUGAGUGCAGAAGAGGAGAGUGGAAUUCCACGUGUAGCGGUGAAAUGCGUAGAGAUGUGGAGGAACACCAGUGGCGAAGGCGACUCUCUGGUCUGUAACUGACGCUGAGGAGCGAAAGCGUGGGGAGCGAACAGGAUUAGAUACCCCUGUAGUCCCUGUCUCUUAUAC